AAAAAAAGUAUAACAUAAUAUAAAAUAGAUUAUAGAAAGUCUUUGAUUUUUUCAACAAAAUGAAGAGAGUUAAUUUCACAAAUGAUCAUCGAGCUAAAUGUUUAUUAAUUAAAUUUUGUAUUUAAAAAUGUAAUUUUCUUGAUAUUUUUUAUACGAAAAUUCAUUUAUUCAAUGUAGAAAAUUGAAAUAAGCUGCAACAUACGAUAAAUUUGUCAAAUAAGCAUUAACCAUAUAAUCAACAAAACAAACAAAUUAAUCAUAUCAAUGGACAGUAAACGAAAAAUUAUGUACAAAAAUAAAAGAGGAAUUUUAAUUUUGUAUUGCAAUUGUGCAUCAAUAUGAAAAAAAUAAAUUAUAUUUUGACCAUUAUUUUAAAGUUGUAAUUGAGUGAUAUCUCAAUUUAGAAAAAAUAUAAAGGUGGCUAAUAGAAAAAUGAUGUGUAACCUCGCUAUUAUUGUUUUGUUAUAAAUUCAUUGAAUUGUGGAUUGUCCAUUUGAUUACUUCAAGAAUUAAUUGAUGAAUUCAUGUAUGUAAAAGUCCAAGUGAUAUGAACCUUGGUGGAUAACUAUAUAUCUGCUAGUUUGGUUUUUAACAAGGUGACCUUUGGGUAUGAUAUCUCAACACUAUAAAUAGAGAUAUCAUUCAUCAUUUGGAUGACACACUUGAAUACGAAGAAAAGCCAUCUUCUUCAUCUCUAUAUCUUGUCUUCUUCUCUUUAUAUUAUAUUAUUUUGAGCUUAUGUUUUAUAACACGUUAUCAGCACGAGUCUCUAUAUUAAUAUUAUGAUGCUUGAUAGCAAUAUGGCUAGCAGAGUUGGUAUAUUUAUUCCUUCCCAAAAUUUCUAUUAAAGAAAGAAAGGAAGAGACGAUAAAGUUGAUACACUCAACGACAGAGUUGACUUGUUUCAAGUUGCAUCCAAAUUGUUUAUCAUCAUGCUUCUAUAAUUCAGGGAGUAACUUUUCCUAUCUAUUCUAAUUUAAAUUAUUUUGAGAUUUAAAGAUUAUAAUAUUUUAUAUUACAUAAUAAUAAUAAUAAUAAUGUAAUUGUAGUUUUGCAGGAAUUGGAGUUGAUUAAAUCAACUAAUCAUAUGUAAGCUUUAGAAAGUAUUGCUUACAUUUAAUUAUGAUUUGUCGGCUGUACUAAGUAUUGGAGAAGUAGUAAUAUGAAUAUUCGGUUCCUCUGAAUAAGUGAGAUGAUUUGACUAAUUUUGUCCGUACAUAUAUUUGAAUAAAUAAAUUCUCUUUUUAAAGAUUAAUAUUUCCAAAUUUAGUUGCACUAAUUGUAUCGUUGAGGUGGUGCAGGAAAUUAUAUAAAUGGAAAUAAAGAUUCAAUUGAUAUUUGUUGAGAGUAAAGAUGCUCUGAGAUGAGUCCAUUGCACUUGACCUACUAUAUAAUUGAUUGAGGGUAAGACGAUAGAUUCAAGUUCUAUCGCACCAAAAGGAUAAGACAUUAGGUUAAAGUCUGGAUGCACCAUAAUGAAAAAUAUUUGAGGGUAAGACGGUAGAUUCAAGUUCUAUCGCAUCAAGAGGGUAAUACAUCAAUUUAAAUUUUGAUGCACCAUGAUGAUAAUACGUUGGGUUCAUGUCCCAUCGAUUUAUGACCUAAGACGAAUUUAUAUGAAUAAGACGUUGGAUUUAAGUUCUAAUGCACCAUGAUGAUGAUUUAAUGAUGACUAUGACAAACUAAUUGUAUUUUCUAUAAGAAGCCAUGAAUUUUGCCCAAUUGGUUUGCUCCAUUCUCUUAUGUGAAUGUGGUAGCAGUACAUGAUACGUUUGAAAGAUGACAGUGAUUAUUGUGGUUGUAUAAAUGAAUAUGGGCAUGAGAAAAAAAAUAUAUAUAAUAGCCAUUAUUGUGGUUAAAUUAAGAACACUGUGAGUUCUCCAAAUAUUCCUUCAAAAUGUGAAUGUAAUUUUUAUCAUCAAAAGAUAUAAAAAGUCAUUAGACACAAGAUUGUUGUGCAAUCUAAUAAUAUGAUAAAUUUGUAAAUCCUCCAUCAAAAGAAAGGAAGAUAAAGUGAUGGUACACUUGACCUUUCAAAGUGAUGUUGAGGUGUGUCAUGCAAAAAUGAUAAAAUUUAAGGGCAUGACAAUGAGCUUACAAUACAAAUUUAUGAAGCACAUACAAAUGAUUAGUCUAUUCCUUAAAGAGAUUGUGACUUGUAAUAAGCAUUGUGAAUGUUUGCCAAUUCUUGAAAGUGAAUGGGUCAAAAUAUGAAGGAAAAAAUAUAUGAAUAAGAACAUAUUUAUGUAUGGUUGGAAAUAUGCCACAACUCAUCUCUACGUGAGGUUUGAGAGAAAUAAAUAGAUUUUAUUUGGCAGAAAUGGUCAAUGGUAUUGUACGUUUAUACGUCAUAAAUAUUAUGGUAUGUCUUUUGUGAACUACCAAAAAGGCAAAAGAAAAAAGUAAUUCUUGCCUAUAAAGGUUGUGGCCUGGACCAAAAUAAUAUUAUUGUGUGGCAAUACAAAUUUGUCAUUGAUUGUGUACCUAUGGUAUGACAAAAGUAAAGCAAAAAACAUGUCUUGCUUGUAAUCAUUUUGACCAUGAAAAUAAUAAUAUAAUUUCCUCCUUGAAGGAGAUGCUCACCAUACGGAUGGUGUCAUAGAAUAUGUGAUAGUACACAAAAAUAAUUGUAAGCCCUAACGAGUUGUGUUAUUCUCAGAGGAAUAAUAUUGAGGUUGUAGUAAGUCUCAAAAGAAACUUUUUAAGUUUCGGAUGAAUUGAAAAGAAAUAUUGAGACCAUAAAUUAUGAAAAGAUUUAAUAUCUUCAGACUACUACAAGAGAAGUGGGUUAUAAAUAUUAUGUAAAAGAUUACCCAUUUUUUCCUCUUGUUUGUUGCAUACAAACAUGGACAUGCUGAUGAAAUCACAUGCAAAAGUAAACUAUAAGUGUACUGGAAUAAAGAUCAGUUGGCAUGAUCGGUUGGCCAUUUCGAUUAAAAUAUGAUGCAAAAAUAAUUGAGAAUUCACAUAGUUAUAUACUGAAGAAAUAAAAUAUUCUUCAAGAACUCUCUUGUGUUGCUUAUUCUCAUAAUAAAAUUAGAGCAACUUUCACAUAUAGCAACAACAAAAAUCAUAUUGGUAUGCUAUAACUAUAGUUUGCAUAAUUGCGCUCCAUAGCAAACAUAAAUAUGUAUAUUUCGCUAUACAUAUACAAAAGAAAGUUAAGUUGUAUAUAAUUUGUUUCUGUUUCGAUAUACAUAUACAAAAGAUCAAUUGUAUAAUAUGUGUUUGUAUAAAGCGAGAAAGAGAGAAAGGCAAAAGAGAACUGAGCAGGGGAAUAUUUUUUAUUGUAUAAUUAUAAGUGUAUAAGACGAAGAUAUAUGUAUUUGCAUGUGUAUAUACAAUUUUCUCUCGCUUUAUACAAAUAGAAACACAAUUUAUACAUUUCUGUUUGUAUAAGCGAGAGAGGCGAGGGAGAGACCGACGAGCGAGAUCUGGGAGAGGGGAACGUAAAAUAUAUGUAUAUAUACAAUUUUCUCUCGCUUUAUACAAAUACAAACGCAUUUUAUACAUUUGUGUUUGUAUAAAAGUGAGAGAGGCGAGGGAGAGAAUGCGAGUGGCGAGCGAGAUUCACCAGGAGAGUCGAAAAUAGCAACAGUUUGCUAUGGGGUACAAUUAAAUCAAACUAUGUUUAUAACAUUUAAUUUGAAUUAAUAGUUUGCUAUUAUAUACAAUUUUUCCAUAAAAUUAUCAUUGUACCAGCUAACGUUGGGAUUAUAUUCCCUGAAAUUAUUUGGAACAUAUAAAAAGGUGAAUAUGAGCCCAUUCACCUGCCAUGUGGAUCAUUUGCAACUAUAUGAUAGAUGCAUCUAUGCGCAUGUGCUUUGUUGUCAGCCUACAAAUUGGUGUUUGUAUGGUUGUUUGCUCGAAUUGUUAAAUUAAGAGCACAGUUUCAAACUAUAAAAUUAUACUGAUAAUGUUGGUUGGUUUAGCAGAAACUGUAUGCCUCCAAUUAUAUCUAAACCAUUAAUUAUGAGAACAAAUCUCCCAAUUUUUUUUUGGUAUGAUAUAAGUUUAUUUAACAUGUAGCAACAUUUGUACGCAUCAAGCCAACAAAGGUCUCCUAUCAAAAUUAGGAAUAAUUUUCAUCUGUGCGAUUAUGAUUUUAAUUGCUCCACCACGCACAAAAAUGAAUUCCCAAAUAAAGUUGGGAUGAAUGUUAGAUUUUCUAACAUUAGGGGGAGAGAUAAUUGACAACUGAAAAUUAUGUAUGAGGUAAAUUAUGAAUUAUCUAGAUCCUCGUUAAAAGAAAAUGUGAACUUGAAGUUCAAGUGAUAAUUCAAUUGCAUAAUGUUGCAAAUCUAUUGCCAAAUGAAUUUACUAACUCUAUACUAUAAUUCAGCUGCAAAUGCUCCAAUGAGAAGUUCUUGAAGGACAUAGUCUAUGAUGCGCCUGAAGCGUAAUAGACCAAUCGGUUCCAAAUGUUAAACUCUUUAAGAAGGAAAUGAGCAAAUGACCAAUAUGGUCAUGAUAAUGAGGCUAGUGCUAUAAAAGAGCACCACGACAUAACACUUCAUAAAACCUUGGAAAAGGUUCAAGUACCUGAAAAAUGAAGAAAAAUGAAGAGAUCUCGAUAAGUUAUGUCAUAUUGGAAUCGAUAUCAAAUAUCUGUCGACGAUAUCUUUGAUAUGAAGUAGCGCUCAAUGAUAUAAAUUUUGACGUGGUUCUUGAAUUCAAAUCUAUCAUAUAGUGUGGACAGAUAAAUGAUUGGCCAAGUAAAAUGCAUAAUUCAAGUAUAUUUUCUUUCACUUAGAAAAGUGAUGUUUUGGACUGAUAGUACAUAAAUUAAGGUAUAAUGUCAGUGGGGUACAAAUAAAUUAGUAUGCGAUGAUAUAACUGUAAGAUAUCAAGUACAACUUGUGCCUUGGAGCAUAAAGGUUUGUCGCAAAAAUCUUGACAUUAUUGAAGAUGUUUUCUCCUAUGAUUGAUGCAAUGAGUUUUGUUUUGAUCUGCUAAUAUAUGAAAAACUUGAAUGCAUAUAAUGAAUAAUUGUCAUGUCUAGCUAGAUAAUGAAGGUUAUAUAAAAAUCCUUGAAACAUUCAAGGUGCCUGAAACAUGUAAAGGGUUUGAAAGAAACUUUUUCAAUAAAGCUUCAAGAAUCCUUAUAUGGAUCGAAAUAAUUAAGGAAGAAAGGGUACAAAAAAAUCCUAAUUGUCCUUGCAUUUUUAUGAAAAGGUCAGAAUCUGAAUUUGUUAUAAUAAUUCUGUAUGUUGAUGACUUGAACAUUAUUAGCACUCUUAAAUUGCUUUCAAAAGCUGUUGAGUGUUUUGAGAAGGGAAUCUAAAAUGAAAAGAUCUUGGAAAGACAAAAUUUUGUCUUAACCUACAGAUUGAGAAUUUGACGAAUGAAAUAUUUGUCCAUCAAUCAACAUAAACAUAAAAGUUUCAUUGAGUACCCCAAUGAUUAUGAGAUUGCUUGACAUAAAUAAAGACUCAUUUUGAUCUCAAAAGAAGGAUGAAGAACUUCUUCGUGAUGAAACUCCAUAUCUUAGUGCAAUCGGGGUACUAAUGCACCUUGCUAACAAUACUCGACCAGAUAUCUGUUUGCAGUAAGUUUACUGGCAAGUUCAGUUCCUCCCCAACAAAAAGACAUUGAAAAUGAUAUUAAGUACAUACUUGAAUAUCUUUGAGGGACCAUAGACAUGAGUUUAUUCUAUUCCGAUGAAUCUAAGUUAGAACUGAUUGGUUACGUAGAUGCAGAAUAUUUAUCUGAUCCGCAUAAAUUUUGAUCUCAAACACGCUAUUUGUUUACAUGUGGAGGCACAAUAAUAUCUUGGCGAUCAAUGAAGCAAACGUUGGUAACCAUUUCUUCAAACCAUGCAGCCCUCCAUGAAGCAAGUCGAGAGUGCGACUGGUUGAGGUCAAUAACACACCAUAUUCAGGAAAUGUGUGAUUUGUCUUUGAAAAAGAAUAUACCAACCACAAUGUAUGAAGAUAAUAAUGCAAUAACUCAAUUGAAAGUAGUGUACAUCAAAGGAGAUCGGACAAAGCACAUUUCACCAAAGUGUUUAUUUUUUUUUUCACACAUGAUUUUCAAUAAAAUGGUGAGAUAGAAGUUCAACAGAUCCGUUCAAGUGAUAAUCUUGUUGAUUUAUUCACUAAUGCAUUGCCAACAUCAACAUUUGAGAAGUUGAGAUAUAAGAUUGGAAUGCGUCGUCUCCGAGAUAUCAAGUGAAGCUUUCAUCAGGGGGAGUGAAAUACGCGUUGUACUCUUUUCCUUAACCAUGAUUUUAUCCCAAGUUGGAUUUUUCUGGUAAGGUUUUUAAUGAGGCAACAUUUAAAGCGUGUUAAGAGAUGUGUGUACUCUUUUUCCUUCACUAGGCUUUUUCCCAUUGGAUUUUUUCUAGUAAGGUUUUAACGAGACACAUUAUCUAUGGACAUCUAAGGGGGAGUGUUAUAAAUCCAUUGAAUUGUGGAUUGUCCAUUUGAUUAUUUCAAGAAUUAAUUGAUGAAUUCAUGUAUGUAAUAUUUCAAGGUGAUAUGAACCUUGGUGGAUAACUAUGUAUCUACUAGUUUGACUUUUAACAAGGUGACCUUUGGGUAUGGUAUCCCAACACUAUCAAUAGAGAUAUCAUUCGCCAUUUGGAUGACACACUUGAAUAAGAAGAAAAAUCAUCUUCUUCAUCU
rnacentral:lncRNA from 1 species